CCAGGACUGAUAGAUUUAUCGUGCUUUCCAGAGAUGACUUGUAGCCAUGGUUAAGAGCCAUAGUAAAUAAACCAAAGCCAUAAGAAAGAGGGUUCUUCAAAAAUUUCAAACAAUCAGCAGCACUGAAUGACCGUCACAGCCACUAAUGAAGUUUUUUUUUUUAUUAUUAUGAUACUGAAUUGUAAAGGUUUUCAACAUGUCUUAAAAUUGACACUUUCCCAUGGGGAAGUAGGGUCUGCAUUCUCUCCCCUGGAACCUGGACUAAACUUAGGGAAUGAUUGACUGGUAGAGCA
rnacentral:lncRNA from 1 species